AUGAACGCUGGCGGCGUGCCUAAUACAUGCAAGUCGCGCGAACAGACGAGGAGCUUGCUCCUCUGACGUUAGCGGCGGACGGGUGAGUAACACGUGGAUAACCUACCUAUAAGACUGGGAUAACUUCGGGAAACCGGAGCUAAUACCGGAUAAUAUAUUGAACCGCAUGGUUCAAUAGUGAAAGACGGUUUUGCUGUCACGUAUAGAUGGAUCCGCGCCGCAUUAGCUAGUUGGUAAGGUAACGGCUUACCAAGGCAACGAUGCGUAGCCGACCUGAGAGGGUGAUCGGCCACACUGGAACUGAGACACGGUCCAGACUCCUACGGGAGGCAGCAGUAGGGAAUCUUCCGCAAUGGGCGAAAGCCUGACGGAGCAACGCCGCGUGAGUGAUGAAGGUCUUCGGAUCGUAAAACUCUGUUAUUAGGGAAGAACAAAUGUGUAAGUAACUAUGCACGUCUUGACGGUACCUAAUCAGAAAGCCACGGCUAACUACGUG
rnacentral:rRNA from 1 species